rnacentral:rRNA from 1 species
GACAGAGGGUGCAACCGUUGUUCGGAAUUACUGGGCGUAAAGCGCGUGUAGGCGGCAUGACAAGUCGGAUGUGAAAGCCCUGGGCUCAACCCAGGAAGUGCAUUCGAUACUGCCGUGCUAGAGUCCCGGAGAGGGUGGUGGAACUCUCGGUGUAGAGGUGAAAUUCGUAGAUAUCGAGAAGAACACCGGUGGCGAAGGCGGCCACCUGGACGGUGACUGACGCUGAGACGCGAAAGCGUGGGGAGCAAACAGG